rnacentral:rRNA from 1 species
GACGAACGCUGGCGGCGUGCUUAACACAUGCAAGUCGAACGGAAAGGCCCUGCUUUUGUGGGGUGCUCGAGUGGCGAACGGGUGAGUAACACGUGAGUAACCUGCCCUUGACUUUGGGAUAACUUCAGGAAACUGGGGCUAAUACCGGAUAGGAGCUCCUGCUGCAUGGUGGGGGUUGGAAAGUUUCGGCGGUUGGGGAUGGACUCGCGGCUUAUCAGCUUGUUGGUGGGGUAGUGGCUUACCAAGGCUUUGACGGGUAGCCGGCCUGAGAGGGUGACCGGCCACAUUGGGACUGAGAUACGGACCAGACGCCUACGGGAGGCAGCAGUGGGGAAUAUUGCACAAUGAGCGCAAGCCUGAUGCAGAAGCGCCGCGUGCGGGAUGACGGCCUUCGGGUUGUAAACAGCUUUCGCCUGUGACGAAGCGUGAGUGACGGUAAUGGGUAAAGAAGCACCGGCUAACUACGUG